CAAAAUUCGUCUUUCGCAAAGGCACUGGCCUGCUCAUAAAUAUAUAGAAUUCGGUAUGUCUAGUUGGAUUAUAUUUACGAAAUCGCCUCACUCAUCGUUUUAGGAACUUUCAAGCCGUCUCGAUUGAAAAUAAUCUUAGCGUGUAAGCAAACACGUCGAAUUUCAUCAUACACUUCGCGGUCAAGACUGAACUUGCUACCGGUGUGAAAAAGAGCUAUGCCCUUUGGUUGGUGAGGGUAACUUUCUUGCUCGUAAUGUUAAUCUUCGACUACAGUCGUUCCUCGAGUGCUCGUACUGGAUUAAGGGAUUGUGUGCCUUGGUCUUUGUUGUUGCAGUUAUUCGUAAUGUGUCCUUUUUUUUAUAUUAUAACAGAUGGAUUUACAAAGACUAAAGAUAUUAAAAACUAUUUAUUACAUGGCGACCGUGACAUGUGCGUGAGUAAAGUGAACAAACAUGUAAAAAUAAAUAUCUAAAAAAAGUUAUUAAGAAAGCAAACCUGUACGAAAUAAAUAUCUAAAAAAAAAUUAUUAAGAAAACAAACAUGUACGAAGUAAAUAUGAAAAAAAAAAUGAAAAGCCAUUAAGAAAACAAUUUGUUACAUGACAGUUUACAGUUUAUGGUAGUUGCAGUGGCAUAAGUCUAUGAGCACCACUGUAAACAAAAAAAUAUUUUACAAAUCAAAAUUUGAUAAAUCAAAGUUAAUCAGCCUGUGAGAUGACCAGCACCGGCGCCGCCUGAGUCCAAAAGGCCCGGACAACAGAAACAAUAAAACAAAACCAAAAAAAAUAAAA